rnacentral:tRNA from 1 species
CGUCAGAUAGCCCAGUUGGUAGAGCACUUGACUAGAGAUUCAGGGGGCCCAGUUCAAAUUCUGGUCUGGUCU